UGAUGCUUUGUUGUUAAAACUAAAUUAUGCCACUAUAUCAUUGGCCAUUUUAUUCUAACGAUACGAAUAUUUCACGUAGGAAACGAUUUCGUAAGUAUUAUAAUAUAUUCUUUGUAUCUCUUCUUACUAAAAAAUCCGUGUCGUCUCCUUACAAUCUGGAUUUCCAUUCUUCUCUGUUCAUACAAUCAACUUAUGUAAUCAUUUUUUUUAAAUUCUACAUUGGUUUCAUCUUCCUUUAUAGUCCAUUAUUCUUCUCUAAAUUCACAUUUCCAUUGCCUCUAACGUUUGCUUGACCUCGCAUUACUAUAAUAGAUACCUACUCUACACGUGGUAUUUAGCAAAUUUUUUUCCCGUCUUUAUAUAAAAGUUUUUUUUGUUUGUAAUUUAGUCAGUGCUUAAUUGUGUUUUUUUUUUUAAAUUAAUGCCUAGAUUAAUGCUAUUUUAGUAUAUAUGUACAGCAUCAAUUAUUAUAUACUUAUCCUUACCUAAAACAAAAAUGUAUGUGUGUUACAUGUAUUAUGAUAUCUAUAAUACAUAAAUAUUAGGAUUAGCAUGUUUUAUAUUGUAUCUAUAAUUACAAAAUUAUUAUUUAUAUUUAUAGACAGAGCGUUUCUGAAAUUCCGCCUUCCAAAACUUCUGCGCAAGAUCAAAAAGGGUUUCUGUUGAAGUCUACAUGGCUAAAUCCUGCAAAUACCGAUAACCAAACCAGUCAAAUAUUAUAAUGUUUUCCUAUAAUAUUUUAUUAUUAAUUUUAUGUUUUUAAUAUGAUUUAUUUGUUAUUAAAAUUAAUGCUGUCUGCAAGGAUUGGGAAAACUAUGUAUAUUUUCUACUGCUAUCUGGCUUUCUAUUUUAUUGGUG